rnacentral:rRNA from 1 species
UUCAACGACUGCGCCACGAUGAAUACACCGGUUCUCGACCGAUUACUGAAGUUAAUUGACGUCGGGCGUGGUCAGUAUUCAGAUGCGUGACCGUCUGGGAGAUCACAUAUUGUUGUUU